GCUUGUCUCAAAGAUUAAGCCAUGCAUGUCUAAGUAUAAACAAAUCUAUACUGUGAAACUGCGAAUGGCUCAUUAUAUCAGUUAUAGUUUAUUUGAUGGUUCUUGCUACUUGGAUAACCGUAGUAAUUCUAGAGCUAAUACAUGCAUCAAACCCCGACUCACGAAGGGGUGUAUUUAUUAGAUGGAAACCAAUGCGGGGCAACCCGGAUUAUGGUGAUUCAUAAUAACUUUCAGAUCGAUCGCAAGAUCGAUGCAUCAUUCAAGUUUCUGCCCUAUCAGCUUUGGAUGGUAGGGUAUUGGCCUACCAUGGCUUUAACGGGUAACGGAGAAUUAGGGUUCGAUUCCGGAGAGGGAGAGAAAUGGCUACCACAUCCAAGGAAGGCAGCAGG
rnacentral:rRNA from 1 species